rfam:Tupaia chinensis contig231991, whole genome shotgun sequence.
GUGCUUGCUUCGGCAGCACAAAUACUAAAAUUGGAAUGAUACAGAGGAGAAUGGUGUGGCCCCUGUACGAAGAUGACACACAAAUUUGUGAGGCAUUCCAUAAAUUU